rnacentral:rRNA from 1 species
AAUACUUGAGCUAGAGUGUCGUACGGGUGCGUAACACGUAUGCAACCUACCUUUUACAGGAGUAUAGCUCCCCGAAAGGGGAAUUAACCCUCCAUAAUAUCAUUGGAUGGCAUCAUUUGAUGAUUAAAACUGAGGUGGUAAAAGAUGGGCAUGCGUCUGAUUAGUUAGUUGGCAGUGUAACGGACUACCAAGACGAUGAUCAGUAGGGGACCUGAGAGGGUGAUCCCCCACACUGGCACUGAGAUACGGGCCAGACUCCUACGGGAGGCAGCAGUAGGGAAUAUUGGACAAUGGGUGAGAGCCUGAUCCAGCCAUGCCGCGUGCAGGAAGAAGGCGUUAUGCGUUGUAAACUGCUUUUGCCAGGGGAUAAAACGGUUCUGCGGAACUAAUUGAAGGUACCUGGUGAAUAAGCCACGGCUAACUACGUGCCAGCAGCCGCGGUAAUACGUAGGUGGCAAGCGUUGUCCGGAUUUAUUGGGUUUAAAGGGUGCGUAGGCGGCCCUGUAAGUCAGUGCUGAAGUAUCCCGGCUUAACCGGGAGGGUGGCAUUGAUACUGCAGGGCUUGAGUACAGAUGAGGUAGGCGGAAUUGACGGUGUAGCGGUGAAAUGCAUAGAUAUCGUCAAGAACACCGAUAGCGAAGGCAGCUUACCAAGCUGUAACUGACGCUGAGGCACGAAAGUGUGGGGAUCAAACAGGAUUAGAUACCCUGGUAGUCCACACUGUAAACGUUGAUGACUCGAUGUUGGCGAUAUACAGCCAGCGUCCAAGAGCAAUCGUUAAGUCAUCCACCUGGGGAGUACGCCGGCAACGGUGAAACUCAAAGGAAUUGACGGGGG